UAAUUGUCAGCUAAGUGGCGCACGGGUGAGUAAUGUAUAGAUAACCUGCCCUUAAGAAAGGAAUAACAGUUGGAAACGACUGCUAAUGCCCUAUAUGCCUUUAAUACAUAAGUAUGCAAGGGAAACGCUUUAGUGCUUAAGGAUGGGUCUGUAUGGUAUCAGCCUGUUGGUGAGGUAAUGGCUCACCAAGGCUAUGACGCCUAACUGGUUUGAGAGGAUGAUCAGUCACACUGGAACUGAGACACGGUCCAGACUCCUACGGGAGGCAGCAGUGGGGAAUAUUGCACAAUGGACGAAAGUCUGAUGCAGCAACGCCGCGUGGAGGAUGACACAUUUCGGUGCGUAAACUCCUUUUAUAUAGGAAGAUAAUGACGGUACUAUAUGAAUAAGCACCGGCUAACUCCGUGCCAGCAGCCGCGGUAAUACGGAGGGUGCAAGCGUUACUCGGAAUCACUGGGCGUAAAGAGCGUGUAGGCGGGUAUAUAAGUCAGAAGUGAAAUCCAAUAGCUCAACUAUUGAACUGCUUUUGAAACUGUAUACCUAGAAUGUGGGAGAGGUAGAUGGAAUUUCUGGUGUAGGGGUAAAAUCCGUAGAGAUCAGAAGGAAUACCGAUUGCGAAGGCGAUCUACUGGAACAUUAUUGACGCUGAGACGCGAAAGCGUGGGGAGCAAACAGGAUUAGAUGCCCUGGUAGUCCACGCCCUAAACGAUGUACACUAGUUGUUGUGAGGCUCGACCUUGCAGUAAUGCAGUUAACACAUUAAGUGUACCGCCUGGGGAGUACGGUCGCAAGAUUAAAACU
rnacentral:rRNA from 1 species